AGCUGUUGUAAUUGUGAGUGAGUGAGUGUAGUCAAGUGUCAUGUAGGUGGAGGGCAGAGUGCUCCCAGGGUCUCAUUGUUACUGCAAUGUAAACAUUCAGGGCAGCUGCGGUGAGGUCCCAUUGGUCAGCUUCCUCUCUACUCUCUGCUCAGCACACACACACUUCCUGUCAGGCAUGCAAGGUUAGAGCUUAGCUAAAUUUAGUGCCUUGGCUUAUGGUCCUCAACUGCCGUGACUGUAUAAAAGGGGUUGAGCUGCCUCUAAACCUGAACAAACCAAACACAGACACCACUCUGAUCCUAGAAGCUUGUCCUACAGGAUGAAACCCAGAAGAUUACUUUUGUCUGUGGCUCCUCUACCGACAAUAACAGAAUCGCAUGAGGACCUCUCGCAGUCCCUGGAUGAAUAUGUGAACUCCAUUAAAGAACUGGCCCAGCCUGCUUGCGGCCCUUUGAGGAUAUCCAGGACUCACAGGCGUAAACCCGUGGGGAAACAUGCGGGCUCUACCUCAACGCCGCGCAGCGCUUCCCGGGCUCUGCAGCCCCGUCGCGCUUCCCUCGGCCUGGACGAGGUCACGCUGAGGUUUAGCAGCCAGGUGGCCUGCGGCGCUAAAGAUCCACUGGACUGGUUGUUUGCACAGACACACUUACAGUCACACGGUGAGAAUUUGCGCAGGACUGACAGCGCACCUGCUGCUUUGUGGUUACUCUAAUGUGCCAAUGUGUAAUGACAUGCUGACGGGAGGAUAACUCUGGACGUUUGAUGGAUGAACGCAAUGGAGGAUCUCAUGAAUUGAACUUCUUAAUUUAUUGUCUGAACAGACUUUUUGUACAAAGAUUCUAAUGUUUACACCAUGUCAAAGUCAUGGUUUUCUACAUUCUAUGCUUUUUAAAUAAAUUUAAAAAGUAAAUUGA